rnacentral:rRNA from 1 species
CGCCGCGUCUGAUUAGCUAGUUGGUGAGGUAACGGCCCACCAAGGCGACGAUCAGUAGCCGGACUGAGAGGUUGGCCGGCCACAUUGGGACUGAGAUACGGCCCAGACUCCUACGGGAGGCAGCAG